ACUUAAAUUGAAGAGUUUGAUCAUGGCUCAGAUUGAACGCUGGCGGCAGGCCUAACACAUGCAAGUCGAGCGGUAGCACAGAGAGCUUGCUCUCGGGUGACGAGCGGCGGACGGGUGAGUAAUGUCUGGGAAACUGCCUGAUGGAGGGGGAUAACUACUGGAAACGGUAGCUAAUACCGCAUAACGUCGCAAGACCAAAGUGGGGGACCUUCGGGCCU
rnacentral:rRNA from 2 species